rnacentral:rRNA from 1 species
AUGGUGUCCAAGAGCUCGCGCGGCCCCGGCAUGACCGCCGGCGGCAGCGAAGCGGAGGAAGCGCUCCUGCUGCCUGAGCACGAAGUCGGGGACCCGGCGGGAGCGGCUCCGGGCAACGCGUCCGUCCUCGGCGCGGUGUUCAACGUGUCGACGAGCGUGGUGGGCGCCGGGAUCAUGUCGAUCCCGGCGGCCAUGCGGGUGCUCGGCGUGGCCCCGGCCCUGGCGCUCAUCGUCGGCGUCGCGCUCCUCGCCAACGUCGCCGUGGACUUCAUGCUCCGGUACACCCGGGGCACGCCGUCGUACGCGGCGCUGAUGGGCGGCUCCUUCGGCCGCGCCGGCGCCAAGCUGCUCAACGUCUUCAUCGCCUUCAACUGCGUCGGGACCCUCACCGUCUACCUCAUAAUCAUCGGGGACGUGAUGUCCGGCCCCGUGGGCAGCGGGGAGGCGCACGCCGGGGUGCUGCCGGAGUGGUUCGGCCCGCACUGGUGGACCGGCCGGGAUGCGGUGCUGGUGGCGGCCGCGGUGAUUCUCCUGCCUCUUGUGCUCCAGAAGCAUGUAGAUUCGUUGAGGUACACAUCGGCCGUGUCCAUCCUUCUGGCGGCGGUGUUCAUGCUCAUCACGAUGGGGAUCGCGGUGUACACUGUCUUCACCGGCACCGCCAAGAUGCCGCGGAUGCUGCCGGACUUCUCCACGCUCGCAUCCCCGUUCGAGCUCUUCACCGCCGUCCCGGUCAUCGUCGUCGCCUUCACCUUCCACUUCAACGUGCACCCCAUCCGCGCGGAGCUGAGCAAGACGUCGGACAUGAAGUCGGCGGUGCGCAUCUCGCUCGUGCUCUGCGCCGCCAUCUACGCCGCGGUGGGCUUCUUCGGCUUCCUCCUCUUCGGGGACGCCACCAUGCCCGACGUGCUCGCCAACUUCGACCGCAGCUCCGGCUCCGGCGUCCCGCAGGCGCUCAACGACGCCGCGCGCCUCAGCUACGCGCUGCACCUCGUGCUCGUCUUCCCGCUCCUCCACUACUCGCUCCGCGUCAACGUCGACGAGCUGCUCUUCCCGGGCCGCCGCCCGCUGGCCGCCGACACGCGCCGCUUCGUGGCGCUCACGGCCGUGCUCAUGGGGUUGCUCUACGCGCUCGCCAUCGCCAUCCCCAGCAUCUGGACGCUCUUCCAGUACUCGGGCUCCACGUUCGCCGUCUGCAUAUCGCUCAUCUUCCCUGGCGCAAUCGUUCUCAGGGAUGUUCAUGGGAUAGCGAAGAGGAACGACAAGGCAAUGGCAGCGAUGAUGAUCACUCUGGCAGUGAUCACGAGCAGCAUCGCCAUCGCUUCCAACGUCAUGAGCUCCAUCAAGGGCGAAGUGAAAGGUGUUAGUGCCGGAGCUAGUUAG